rnacentral:rRNA from 1 species
AGAGUUUGAUCCUGGCUCAGAAUCAACGCUGGCGGCGUGCCUAACACAUGCAAGUCGAACGAGAAAGUGGGGGCAACCCCAUGAGUAAAGUGGCAGACGGGUGAGUAACACGUGAACAACCUACCCUCGAGUGUGGAAUAACACCGCGAAAGCGGUGCUAAUACCGCAUAACAUCUUCGGGUCGCAUGGCCUGAAGAUCAAAAGCGCAAGUUGCUUGAGGAGGGGUUCGCGCCUGAUUAGCUAGUUGGUGAGGUAACGGCCCACCAAGGCUCCGAUCAGUAGCCGGCCUGAGAGGGCGAACGGCCACACUGGAACUGAGACACGGUCCAGACUCCUACGGGAGGCAGCAGUGGGGAAUUUUGCGCAAUGGGCGAAAGCCUGACGCAGCAACGCCGCGUGGAGGAUGAAGGUCUUCGGAUCGUAAACUCCUGUCAGUAGGGACGAAUGCCUCGCAAGAGGUUUGACUGUACCUGCUGAGGAAGCCACGGCUAACUCCGUGCCAGCAGCCGCGGUAAUACGGAGGUGGCAAGCGUUGUUCGGAAUUACUGGGCGUAAAGGGCGCGUAGGCGGCACUGCAAGUCAGAUGUGAAAGCCCCGGGCUUAACUCGGGAAUUGCAUCUGAAACUGCUUUGCUUGAGUCCUGGAGGGGAUAGUGGAAUUCCCAGUGUAGCGGUGAAAUGCGUAGAUAUUGGGAGGAACACCUGCGGCGAAGGCGGCUAUCUGGACAGUGACUGACGCUGAGGCGCGAAAGCUAGGGGAGCGAACGGGAUUAGAUACCCCGGUAGUCCUAGCUGUAAACGAUGGGCACUUGGUGUUGGGGGUAUUGAGUCCCUCGGUGCCGGAGUUAACACGUUAAGUGCCCCGCCUGGGGAGUACGGUCGCAAGACUGAAACUCAAAGGAAUUGACGG